CACACGAUCCUUAAAUGUGGAAGAGAAGGAGAGUUUGUGUUAGAGUGACAAGGUGUAAGAAAGACUCAACUGGUCAUUGCUUUCUUUAAGGGUGGAAGCGGGUCAUCACACAGGAACGAAGACAGUCUCUAGAAGCUAGAAAAGGCAAGAAGAUGAAUUCGUUCCUUGAGUCUCCUGAAAGAAACACAGCCCUGUUUUCACCUUGGCUUUAGACUUGAUGUGUUCUCAAGAAUCUUGGCUCUGUGAAAUUAUAAGUAAUCAACUCUAUAGAAGAUAGAGUUUGCUGAGUCUAAAACAUGAAACUGGAAGAUCAAACAGA
rnacentral:lncRNA from 1 species